rnacentral:lncRNA from 1 species
UUUUUUUGUUUGUUUUUUGUCAUAACUUCAUAACUAAUUUAGCAAGGAGAGAAAUGGCAGUACUUACUUUUUUUCAUAACUACAAAAGGUCAAAUUAUUCUAUAUUUAGAAAAUGUUGAAAUGUGUAGAUAUAUUUUCCUUCUAAGGUAAUUACAAGUUCCAAUUUAUUUUACAUUAAUAUGUGUAAAACUAUCAAGUAAUAAUAAUAAAGUUGUGAUAAUUAAAACGGACAGUUGAAAUUUGCUUGUUCUAUUUAUAUAUGUUGAUGAAAGGUCUAUUUUCAUAAGUGUGUUUCUAUGGAAGACAAAUACUUUCAAAUUUCUAAAAUGUAUAAUUAUCCUCAUGUGGCUCAAGGCAUCUUUGACAUCUGUUUAGACAUAUAAAAGAGUAGGCUUUUUUUCCAUGGGAGUAUUUUUGGCAAGGUAAAUCUCAGAUUUUCUCAAAAUGCAUUUUUAAAUUCUGUGAGCUAACUCCUGCCUUUUCUUAUGGAAUAUAGAGAAUAUGUGAAAAUCUUCUCAACUUUGUGCUGCUCUGACCCUCUUAACUAAGUACUAGAUUCUCCUUAACUUCAACUCAGCCCAAGACGCUGAGGGGACCAGCCACUUUAUGAAUCUUAGUGAGGGGUUCCUCAUUCCACCUGCCUUCCUGCUGAUGCAGCUCCGCUAAUAUCCCCCAAGAACUGGAGUUCUUCCUGAAGACUAGGAACUGGCAAGGCUAGUGACUGGGUGCCUCUCUUGUCUCCAGUGCUACAUUUCUUCUAUCACUACAACUAAGAUAAGUUCUUCUAUCACUACAACUAAGAUAAGUUUCAAUAAACUUAGACUAAACCAUGUUUUAAAAAUAUUUUGGCAGAUUUCAGUCCGAAAAAUUUAAUAGUUCUGAGUCUUUCCAGAGUAAAAAUGAAAACUGUGUGUAGAGAAGAAAGAGCUCUCCUCUACUUUUGUAGAUUUGAUAAAGGAAUUGAUGAGGUAAACUGACAAAAGGCAGAUUAACAAGAGAGCAAGUACAUGAAUUUAUCAAUGUUUAAUAUUACAUACACAGAGCAUCAUGGAAAAGUGGAUAUCAAAAAUACAGUGAUAAAGUUCUCACAGUGGCUCAGUAGGUAAAGAACUUGACAUAGUGUCCAUGAGGAUGUGGGUUCAAUCCCUGGCUUUACUCAGUGGCUUAAGGAUUUGGUGUUGCUGCAAGUUGUGGAGCAGGUCACAGAUGAGGUUCGGAUCUAGUGUUGAUAUUGCUGUGGCAUAGGCUGGCAGCUGUGGCUCUGAUUUGAUCCCAAGCUUGGGAACUUCCAUACACCACAGGUGCAGCCCUAAAAAGAAAAAAAAAAGGUACAGUGAGUUUUGAAAGUUUAUAUAUCAUCUUAAUAGGGGAAGUGAGGUCUAGGCCAUUAUGGGGAGGGUAAAUGUCUUUCAGGAUGAGAAACGGGCCUUUAGAAGCACACUCGGGAGGUAUGAGAAUUUGUGGUGAGGUUUGUUUGAGGAUGGUGACUUCCAGUCUCUCUUGCGAUGAGUUCCCUGGUUUCUGAAACUCCCAGGAGGGGAUUAAUUACAAUGGAAUUCCCUUUCUGUCUUUCACCACACAGGAAGAGUUCAGAGAAAGCCUCUGCCUACAUUUGCUAUUUUUCAAAUAUCUUCAGCUCAAAAUAAUCAAUAUGUCAAAGUGGCAUAUUUUGAGGUUACAAGCCCUAAACUCCUUGAAUAAUCAUAUAUGAAAAAAAAUCUAUCAAUUAUGGUAUGUUUUGUCUGGAGGAAAUUUUGAAGAUGAAGUGGAGAUGAAGACUUAUUAAACAACUCACCAACUGUUAAUUUCUUUUGAAUGAAGUGUAAAAUAACCUCCAAGUUCAAAAUCAAAAUAUGGCGUUGCCUCCUCUGAAGCUGCUCAGCCUAGGCAAUAGUUCCUCUCAAUUUCACCUUUUUCUUCCAUUGUUAUUCUCUGUUUACUUCUGUUUUCUCCAAAUAAAUAGCUAAUUUUGAUGACAUUCUUAAUAGUCUUGCCUGCUAAUGACUUUAGUCUUAUUUCUGGAUUUUGGGAUUAUUUGCCAUUUCUUUAAUUCUAAUUCAAUGUUUUAUUUUUAUUUUUUUUAUCAAGUAGUCUUAAUUGUAAUCAAUUGUUAUUUCCAAAUUUUACUUCAAUGUUUUAAACUUUUUGGAACCUAAGAAAGAAGUGUUGUACAGAAGGGAUUUAGAUUAACUCCUGUAGUCUUACUUCCUUGAUUUACUGCAACUGAAGUAAUUUAUAGGUUAAUUAAAAACUAAAUUAGGGGAGUUCCCAUCGUGGCGCAGUGGUUAACGAAUCCGACUAGGAACCAUGAGGUUGCGGGUUCGGUCCCUGCCCUUGCUCAGUGGGUUAACAAUCCGGCGUUGCUGUGAGCUGUGGUGUGGACCCUCAAAAAAAAGACAAAAAGACAAAAAAAUAAAUAAACAAAAUAAAGAUGGAUUUCCCAAGUAACAGAAAUAAAACCAAAAAUAAAAACAUGGAACCUAGUCAAACUUAUAAGCUUUUGCAUAGCAAGGAGAAUUAUAAACAAAAUGAAAAUACAGCUUAUGGACUAGGAGAAAAUAUUUACAAAUUAUGUAACCAAUGCAUUUAAUUUCAAAAUAUAAAAACAGCCCAUACAACUCAAUAGCAAAAACAAAAAAACAACACAACUGAAAAAAUAGGCUGAAGAGCUAAAUAGACAUUUCCCCAAAGACAGACAAAUGGCCAAAAAGCACAU